GAGGCAGCAGUCAGGAAUCAAUAGCAAUCGGUGAAAGCAAGCCGCAGCAACCCCGGGUGGGGGAUGAAGGCAUUUGGGUUGUAAACUCCUUUCAGUGGGAAGGAAGAUGACGGUACCCACAGACGAAGCCCCGUCCAACUACGUUCCAGCAGCCGCGGUGAUAAGUAGGGGGCGAGCGUUGUCCGGAUUUAUUGGGCGUAAAGAAAUGGUAGGUGGCUCGGUAAGUCGGGUGUGAAACAUACAGGCUCAAUCAGGAGACGCCACCCGAUACUGCCGUGGUUAGAGUUCGGUAGGGGACCACGGAAUUCCUGGUGUAGCGGUGAAAUGCGCAGAUAUCAGGAGGAACACCAGUAGCGAAGGCGGUGGUCUGGGCCGACACUGACGCUGAGGAGCGAAAGCGUGGGGAGCGAACAGGAUUAGAUACACUGGUAGUCCACACCGUAAACGUUGGGCACUAGGUGUGGGGGCCUAUCGACGGUCUCCGUGUCGCAGCUAACGCAUUAAGCGCCCCGCCUGGGGAGUACGGCCGCAAGGUUAAAACUCAAAUGAAUUGACGGGG
rnacentral:rRNA from 1 species